rnacentral:rRNA from 1 species
UACGUAGGGCGCAAGCGUUAUCCGGAAUUAUUGGGCGUAAAGAGCUCGUAGGCGGUUUGUCGCGUCUGCUGUGAAAACCCGAGGCUCAACCUCGGGCCUGCAGUGGGUACGGGCAGACUAGAGUGCGGUAGGGGAGGUUGGAAUUCCUGGUGUAGCGGUGGAAUGCGCAGAUAUCAGGAGGAACACCAAUGGCGAAGGCAGAUCUCUGGGCCGUAACUGACGCUGAGGCGCGAAAGCGUGGGGAGCAAACAGG